AUCUGAAGAUAGGGGCAAAAGAGUAAUUAGAAGGAAAGGAAAAGAAAAGAGAAGAGGGUGGUUUCGUUUGACCUAAAUACCCUCUGUUGGUGCUUGGUUGAAGGUAUGGAUUUCCUAUAAGGACCCUCUAAUUCCCAAUCUUCCUCUCUUCUCCUUACCCUUCUUUUCCUAAUUCCGAUUUUCUCCACUUCCCCGCCAUUUUUUCAAAUUCCCGUUUCUUCUUUUUUCUCGAUCAACCCUUUUCUGUUUGCCACCUAGGGUUCCGCUUUUUUUCUUCCAAGCUUCAAUCUUUCAGCUGGCGUUCUAUCCGCAAAUUCUCGUUGUCGUUAUAUAUAGUGAUUAAUGUCUUCUAUGUCUAAUCAUGAUUUGAUAACUGGCCAGAGUGAUAAUUUGGCACUUAGCCAUAACCAGCAACUGGUGCUGAACCACACUCAUAGUUUGGGAACCAUGAUUUGGACUUGGGACAAACUGAUGAUCAGCAUUUGGGUCUGGGACAACCUCACGAUCAUGAACUGGGCUUAGGAAUUGCCAAUGACCAUGAAUUGGGUUUGGGACUGAACCAUGAUGAUGGAGAUGGUGUUCACAGGUAUGGGCACGAGGAUGAGCUAUCCAUGGAUCAAAAACCAGAGCAUGAUGGCCAUGGGAUGCCCAUUCCCACUCAAAAUCAUGAGUUGACCAUAACAGAGAACAAUGAGUUGUCUGUUUCAGAAAAUCAGGAAUUUGAUGAGAACAUAGCAAUGACUGUGGUCCACAACCCAGACAUAUGAGUAUUGAAUCUGCUGAAGAAAUGGGUGUUCACGAAUCCCAGCUUAUGGUUGCCACAUCCCCUGUGAUUCAGGCUUGUACAUUAGCCAUAAGUCCUAAUUAUGAAUUCUCAGUGGGACAAGAAUUCCCUGAUGUUAAGAGUUGUCGAAGGGCAUUGAGGGAUACAACAAUCGCUUUGCAUUUUGAGAUGCAGACUAUAAAAUCUGACAAGACUCGGUUUACUGCUAAAUAUCCAAGCGAAGGAUGUCCCUGGUGCAUUCAUGCGGCAAAACUCCCUGGUGUUCCAACUUAUACUAUUAGGACAAUCCAUGAGCAUCAUACAUGUGGAGGAAUUUCACAUCUUGGUCAUCAGCAAGCCUCAGUUCAAUGGGUUGCUACCUCUGUGGAGCAAAGGCUGAAGGAGAACCCUAAUUGCAAGCCAAAGGAGAUAUUGGAAGAGAUUCAUAGGGUUCAUGGCAUCACUUUGUCAUACAAGCAAGUUUGGAGAGGCAAGGAGCGUAUCAUGGCUGCAAUGCGUGGAUCUUUUGAAGAGGGAUGCCGCUUGCUUCCACAAUACUGUGAAUAGGUGAAACGCACAAAUCCAGGAAGUAUUGCAUCUGUUUAUGGAAAUCCAACUGAUAAUUGCUCCCAACGCCUAUUCAUAUCCUUUCAAGCGUCAAUAUAUGGUUUUUUAAAUGCUUGUCGACCACUUUUGGAGCUUGAUAGAACAUAUUUAACGAGCAAGUAUCUUGGUACAUUACUUCUAGCCACCGGAUUUGAUGGUGAUGGGGCUCUCUUUCCUCUGGCUUUUGGUGUUGUUGAUGAGGAGAAUGAUGAUAAUUGGAUGUGGUUUCUGUCAGAACUUCAUAACCUGAUGGAGACAAACACCGAAAACAUGCCAAGGCUUACAAUUUUGUCUGACAGGCAGAAGGGNAUANUAGAUGGUGNGGAAGCAAAUUUUCCCACUGCAUUCCAUGGAUUUUGUAUGCGUCACUUGAGUGACAGCUUUCGCAAGGAGUUUAACAACACAAUACUUGUUGAUCUUCUAUGGGAAGCUGCUCAAGUUCUUACCAUACUUGAAUUUGAAGCAAAAGUUUUAGAGAUUGAAGAAAUAUCACAAGAUGCUGCGUACUGGANUCGAAGAAUUCCACCUCAUUUGUGGGCUACUNCAUACUUUGAGGGGCAAAGUUUCUUUCAUUUUUCAGCAAACAUAGUUGAAUCUUUAAACACAUGGAUAUUAGAGGCAUCUGGGCUUCCAAUAAUUCAAAUGAUGGAAUGCAUAAGAAGACAACUAAUGACUUGGUUUAACGAGCGACGAGAGAACAGCAUGCAGUGGACAUCAAUACUUGUACCUUCAGCUGAGAGUUGUUACAGAAGCUCUUGAUCGUGCGAGGACACACCAGGUACUUCGUGCCACUGAUGCUGAAUUUGAAGUUAUAUCACAUGAAGGAACAAACACUGUUGAUAUUAGGACCCGUUGUUGUCAAUGUCGUGGGUGGCAGCUCUAUGGUUUGCCUUGUGCACAUGCUGUGGCUGCUCUUCUCUCUAUUAGGCAGAAUGUGCAAAGAUUCACAGAAACCUGUUUUACUGUUGCAAACUACAGAAAGACAUACUCACAGACCAUAUACCCAAUUCCUGAUAAAUCUCUGUGGAAGGAGUUGUCUGAGGCUGAGGGGGUUGUCACUGUUUCUGAUGUUGAUCAACUUCAACUUCAACUUACUAUUAACCCUCCUAAUUCACUCCGGCCACCGGGGAGACCCAGAAAGAAACGGGUUCGGGUAGAAGACCGUGGCCGCAUAAAACGGGUUGUGCAUUGCAAUCAAACCGGUCACUUUAGAACUACCUGUGCAGCUCCCAUCUGAGUCUCCUCCUACACCUUAGUUUUUCAUUAUUUAUUAUUUAGGCUUUUUAGCUUAGACCCUCCAAAUUUUCUUUUUUUAUUUCUUUUACAUUAAUGUGAAUUAAUAUGUUUCAGCUGUUGUGUAUUUAUAGUCAAUUAAUUUACAUUUUUUCAGUAAGCAUACAACACUUCAAUACAUCCUUAUUUCAAAACUUAAAAAAUUCUUAACAUGACUCGAAUGAUUCUAGAGAACGAGGGUAU